rnacentral:rRNA from 1 species
UACGUAGGUGGCAAGCGUUGUCCGGAUUUAUUGGGUUUAAAGGGUGCGUAGGCGGUCCUAUAAGUCAGUGGUGAAAUACGGCAGCUCAACUGUCGAGGUGCCAUUGAUACUGUAGGACUUGAGUACAGACGAGGUAGGCGGAAUUGACGGUGUAGCGGUGAAAUGCUUAGAUAUCGUCAAGAACACCGGAUAGCGAAGGCAGCUUACUAGACUGUAACUGACGCUGAGGCACGGAAAGUGUGGGGAUCAAACAGG